GACGUUUAAAGGUAAAGCAUCUGCCUGCAAUGCAGGAGACCCAGGUUUGAUCCCUGGGUUG
rfam:TPA: Bos taurus chromosome 11, whole genome shotgun sequence.